rnacentral:lncRNA from 1 species
GUGCAUUGGUAUCAUCCUUAGAUGACCACAAAAUACAGACUUCUGAGUCUCAUCUCUCUGAUUUUGAGUAUCUUGCCCCACACAUGAACAUAGGGUACAGCUAAAUUUGAUUCAUACAUUAUCAAAUCUUAAUUCUUUUUUAUCUGUUCUCUAAACAAGGUCCAGAUUCCAAAUACAUUCAUUCAAGAUUCCCUGGAAUUUGAUUCCAUGUUACCUCUUUAGAUUUAUUGUACUGGCUAGUUUUGUGUCAACUUGACACAGCUGGAGUUAUCAUAGAGAAAGGAGCUUCAGUUGAGGAAAUGCCUCCAUGAGAUCCAGCUGUAAGGCAUUUUCUCAAUUAGUGAUCAAGGGGGAAAGGCCCCUUGUGGGUGGGACCAUCUCUGGGCUGGUGGUCUUGGGUUCUAUAAGAGAGCAGGCUGAACAAGGCAGGGGAAGCAAGCCAUUAAGGAACAUCCCUCCAUGGCCUCUGUAUCAGCUCCUGCUUCCUGACCUGCUUGAGUUCCAGUCCUGACUUCCUUUGGUGAUGAACAGCAGUGUGGAAAUGUAAGCUGAAUAAACCCUUUCCUCCCCAACUUGCUUCUUGGUCAUGAUGUUUGUGUGGAAUAGAAACCCUGACUAAGACACUUAUCAUCUACUUCUUUACUCCACCCUAGACUCUAGCCAAUACAGGACAUAUAUUGGCCUCUAUGUAUCUGGAAAGCAUCUGUUGAUGUAGUUAUCCUGGUUCUUCAACAUAGACUAAAGCUGUAGAGCUGAACGUUCUUCAGUGGUGGAGACAUUCUCCUGUGCCAUCUAAUAUGGUAGCCAUUGGUCACCGUACUCUCUUGGCCCUUGAGCAUUUGGGAUGUGGCUGGUAUGACUGAACUUGUUAUUUUACAUCAGCUUAGUUCAAGUUAAAAUAGCUACAUGCAGGAGUCAAAGUCAGACAGAAUGCUUUCUUCGGUGAAUCUACAACAACAUUUUGUCUUAAAUCUUAAGGGGCUCAUAGCAUAAUCUUCCUCUGUCAGGAUAAAUUCUCUGAUACCUCCUAUUGCAACUACUCCUGAGCAUCUGUAUUGCACGGAACAUGUGACUCUUACUACUGUUGCUCCCACUUUGUUUUUGUUUCUGUUGUUUCUGCUUUACAACCCCAGAUAUCAGAGACUUCUUAAAAGGAAGAACUGCUCAGAAGACUUGAGUGUGGGAUGUGGAGGUCAGUCUUGUGAAGGAGAAAGUGGGAUAGAGAGCGAGGUACCUCAGGCGCCUGAGACCCCUCAAAGAAUCCUGCCCUGCCAUACAAGGCAUUGGAUCUAAGAAGGCUCCUUGAACACCAGUGAGACCGCAAAAAAAGAACCUAGGCCAGAGAAUGGCUGCUUGCCCCACCCCCUGUAUUCCUGAAAGUCCUAACAGGUGACAAUGCUCCUGAACCCCAGCUCUUUCUGAGUAACCUUGUCAGGCAGGGCUUUCACUGGGGCAUGGUUAAGGGUGACAGUGUCUGAUGGGAUCCUAUCGGCUGAGGAUUUAGAGGCUUAGGGUUGGCUCAAACACUAUGUAUAAGCUUUUGUGAUGUGCAAUAAACUCAGAUCUUCACCCUGAUGCUACUCGCCAGAGUCUGAUGAUUCGUAUUUGUCAUGUGAUCCCGUAGCCUCUCACCUACCAUCCUUGGUCCUCCAUCAAUCAUAAAUGCCUGUACACACCCAAAUCUACACAUUACUAGCUAGGCCUCAGACGUGUGUGUGUGUGUGUGUGUGUGUGUGUGUGUGUGUGUACAUACAUACAUGAAGGUUCAUAUGCUAAAGUACUGCGAGUUGCUGAGAAAUGUGUACCAGCUUAGUGUUACUGAGCCAGAGCUAUAGUUAAAUGGAAUGGCCACAGAGUGAUGGCCUAUUUUCUUUUUCUUUUUUUAGCUUGGAAGCAAAGAUAAUUGUAGUUUUCGGAAGUACUAAUGAUUUUUAUUGAAGUAAAUGAGGGAAGGGGGCCGGCCUCUGGGAAGAUACUGUUUAAAACGCUUGGCAAGUGGUAAAGUCGUUAUGCAUUCACCCUGCCUCGCACUUUUAUUCCAGAAUUAGUCUGUGAAAUGAUGAACUGUCACUUCCUAAAUCUUCUGCAGAUGUUGCUGUUGCUGGAGAAAUGUCACUGGGAAAGAUAAAGGACCAUUAUUCUAAAGAGUGUUUCAGGCUGACUGAAUCAGGUCUGAAACGUUAUUGAAAUGGGAAGAUAAACUCAACUAUUUUCAGGUUUCUACAAACUAGAAACCAUGGUAAACCCAGAAGAAAAGGCACUCCAGUUCAACCUUCUCUACAAAUGAAGGAAGGGGCAGCCAAUCUUACUUCUCCCAUAGACCAGACUGAAAGAUGGCUAAGAAUGUACUAAAGCACACUUCCACAUGUAGGCAUGGGCAUUUCUUGAAAGAACUGGCCUUGGGAGAGCAACUGAAGAGGAAAGAACCAUCCUGAAUUCAGGUAGUCAACAGCCUGGAUGUUCUCUUGGAAUAAGUGAAGUAAGAGAAUAUCAGACCAGAAAUUAGUAUUGAGGUUUCUCAAAAGGUUUGAAAGAGAAACACUACAUGGCCCACAGAUAUCACCCCUUGGUGUAUACCCAAAGGAUUCCAUUUCCUACUGUGAGCAUCCAAGCAUAUCCAUGUGGAUUGUUCUCUACUUACAAUAGAAGGAAAUGGAACCAGUAUAGAGACCCAUCAAUAGAUGAAUAGAUAAUGAAAAUGUAGUAUACAUACAUGAUGGAAUUUCAUUCAACUGUAGAGAAAAUGGAGUCAUUACAUGCGUAGGGAAGGGAAUUAAUAUGGAAGGUACAAUUUUUAAAGCUCACAGACAGUACAAUAGAUUUUAAAGUAAGACAUAGAACAGGGUAGGUGAAAAUCUGGGAUUCCAGGAGGGGAGGAGGGGGAAAAGUUAGAUAUGGAAUAGAAAUACACAGCUUACUAAGAAAGAGGUGAGAAAAUUUCUCUCCCAAAUGGAAGCAGGCUAGUGAGUUGAGGAAACAGCCCCAAUACAUCUGGCUGCAGUGUGUGGUCUUUUAUAGCCCCCAACUUGUCCUCUAUCAGCUUUAUUUUGUGCAUGCUUUGUUGGUUACCUGAUGCCCAGAUAAGGAAAGGCUUCAAGUUUCCCUUGGCAAGCUGGCUUCUUCCACGUGUUAUCUGGACACAUUCUUUUUAAAGUUACUACUAGUCUGUCAUAACUCUCGGGAGCUGUGGUCCUAAAAACAACUUUUUUCAGGAUAUAUAUAUCACAUAUAUUACACACACAUAUAUAUACACACAUACAUAUAUACAUAUAUACACAUAUGCAUACAUAUUUUAAGGAUGUGGUAAAAGAUUGGUAGAAGAAAUUAAUUGGAAGUUGGUGUGAAUUUGUGAGCACUGAGAACCAACAGUAUCAAAUAUAUAUAAAAGAAAACCAGAGCAUAGAGUUACAUUACUGACAGAUGUAAACAAUCUGUCUAAACGGAGCUUAUCCUUAUAUUGUAGCUGGAGUUACUGUCAUUGUAGCAUCUUAUGUGUUAGAAGUUCAUAUAUAUGAUUCAAUGCAAAGACAUGCACAAGGCCAAAGUUUCCAUUCAUCCCUUUUAUAAGCUACUUUAUCAUUGUUCUCUUUUGCACAAAUCAUCAUAGUCUUUGGUUAUAUUUUCCUGCUUUGUGUUUAAUAAUGUACAGAUGACCAAAAUUAAUAUUUUGCUCUGUUUUGCUUUGCUUUGCUUGGUUUUGUUUUACUGUCAAAAGCAGAUGAGUGUCUGGGCUUGGAAUGAGUCUUUUUGCCCCCAUUACUUCUUUCUAUUUUAGAAUUUUCCCCCCUCUAUUUCACCUGUUGAGAAUGAGACAGAGGCAAUGUUUACCAUGGCUGGGCUUGCAUUUCCACUCUGCAGUGAUCUUCCUCUUGGCAACUGUACACUGGUUAGAGCACACCUAACAUGGUCUCCAUGGCUUUUUUGUACAAAAGGACAGGUGAUUCUCCAGAACUGUAGAACAUGGAAAGGUGGGUGGGAUGGCUAGAGCUUGGCUGAUAUUAGAAGAAAGAGGUAAAAAUACAAUUUCUUUUCUCCCUAUCUCAGCUUCCAACCAUACACAGAAGGUCAGUUACACCAAUAUAGAAAAAAAAUCAUGUUUUAAAAUUCAGCUAUUAUAUAAAUACUAAGGCAUACCUUGACAGAGACAGGUUUCUGUCUUGAGCUUACGCAGGGCUCAUGCAUGCUAUCAUAGCUCCUAUGAGUUUACAUCAACCCCUGCCUUGCUUCAUUCAGGAUAAGUCGUCCUCAUAUAGGAUAACUUUAUUUCAAGUCUUUUUAUGUAUGUGCAUAUAUAUAUACAUACACACACACACACACACACACACACACACACACACACACACACAUAUAUAUAUAGUGGCUAUUCCUGGUUGUCAACUUAACUAUAUUUGGAAUGAACUACAAUCCAGAAUUGGAAGGCUCACCAGUGACCCUUAUCUGGAGGCUUGGAGAUCCUUAUCUGGAUCUUGGUAUGGAAAUCUUGAGCCAUAGUGGCUAUGGAUUCCAGAAGAUUAAAUCUCCGAGUUUAAGGAACACACCUUUAAUCUGCGCUACACCUUUUCAUCUGGGAUUAAGGAUGUGGUGGAACACACCUUUAAUCUGGGCUACACCUUCUGCUGGAGACAAUAUAAGGACAUUGAAAGAAGGGAGUCUAGCUCUAGCUCUUGCUCCUUUGCCUGCUUGCUGUGUGAGACUGAGUAACUGCUAGAUCCUUGCACUUCCAUUCACAGCUGCGACUGAACCAUUGUUGGGAAUUGGGCUGCCGACUGUAAGUCAUCAAUAAAUUCCUUUAUUAUCUAGAGACUAUCCAUAAGUUCUGUGACUCUAGAGAACCCUGACUAAUACAAUAUAUAUGUGUGUGUGUGUAUGUAAUAUGUAUGAUUUUGUAUAUUUGCCUAUAUAUAAGAAAGUGUUUAUGGAAACAGAAUAACUUUUAGAAAGCUCUUCAGUGUUAUUUAUCUCCCAAAUAAAACUGAUUUACGAUGCAUUUUCUUAACUAAAAGCCUAAAACACUUAAUAGCCACUAUGAACAAAUAUUUUGACAAAACGUAGAUCACUUAACUAUAUUUCUAAAAACAUUGCUAUUAAAAAAUAAAUGUUACAUCCAUUCCAAAUUAAUAUAUAUAUAUAUAUGUAUAUGUGUGUAUAUAUAUAUUAGAAAUGAUGAGGUCAAUGUCCAUGAGGGUGACACUGUGACUUGGGGCACAAGCUUCUGUGUCUUGAGAACCAAGCUAAGCAAGAGGACUAUAUUUAGACACUUGUCAAAUCAGGGCUGAGGCAGCGAUUAACCAAAUAACAUUUGACUAAGACUGGAUGACCAGUUCUUUAAAUUUUUAAUUAUAGUAUAAGUUAAAAUGAAUUUGGGCUAAAUUAAAAGAUUUAAUUAAUGUGACUACCUACUUAUAAGUCAAUUUGUACUAUGUCAUAAAAACACAAGUACAAUAUAUAUAUAUUUAUGUAUUUAAGAAAUACAUAUGUAUAUGUAUAUAUACAUACACACAUAGUUAUAAGCAGAGAAAAGAUUUUUUUUUUAACAAACUCAUUUUAAAAAACAACCUGUUUCAGUUAAGCUCUGGCAGAGCCUCUCAGGAGACAUUCAUAUCCGGGUCCUGUCAGCAUGCACUUCUUGGCUUCAGCAAGUGUCUGGGUUUGCUGGCUGCAUACUGGAUGGAUCCCUGAGGAGAACUGCAGGCUGGUCUCCAGUAGAGCUGAGGUCUGAACCCUGAUGGUCAUAAUUCACCUAUGUGACACUGUAGGCGUUCCCUCGUGCUCCUGGAAGUCUGGCCCCUGCCUAAGGUACCACCUCCCACAGCCCCCACAAGAAAAGCAUGGUCAGUAGUCAUGUAAGCAAUGGCCCAAGCUUCUGACCUUCAGGCUAAACUUGUCCCCAGUUACCUAGCAACAGUGAAGAUCAUAAAAAAGGGUGCUCAGCCCCCACCUUGCUCUCUUACUCCUUUGUUCCUCUACCUCUCACUCCUCUCACUCCUCUCUCCUCUUCCCUCUCCCUUUCCGUCUUUCUCUUUCUCUUUCUCUUUCUCUUUCUGUCUUCUUCUUCUUCUUCUUUCUCUCUCUCUCUCUCUCUCUCUCUCUCUCUCUCUCUCUCUCUCUCUCUCUUCUACCUUCUCUCUUUCCCCCUGCAUUUCUAUAAUAAAGAUCUUCAACCAUAGAGUCUCUGCUCUGCUCCUUCAAGUUCCACUGUGCACUCUGGUCAGUGUUGGGAACUUCUUCCCCUAUUCCCUCUCUCCCA